rnacentral:rRNA from 1 species
AUUGAACGCUGGCGGCAUGCCUUACACAUGCAAGUCGAACGGUAACGCGGGGCAACCUGGCGACGAGUGGCGAACGGGUGAGUAAUGUAUCGGAACGUGCCCAGUUGUGGGGGAUAACUGCUCGAAAGAGCAGCUAAUACCGCAUACGACCUGAGGGUGAAAGCGGGGGAUCGCAAGACCUCGCGCAGUUGGAGCGGCCGAUAUCAGAUUAGGUAGUUGGUGGGGUAAAGGCUCACCAAGCCAACGAUCUGUAGCUGGUCUGAGAGGACGACCAGCCACACUGGGACUGAGACACGGCCCAGACUCCUACGGGAGGCAGCAGUGGGGAAUUUUGGACAAUGGGGGCAACCCUGAUCCAGCCAUGCCGCGUGCGGGAAGAAGGCCUUCGGGUUGUAAACCGCUUUUGUCAGGGAAGAAAAGACUCCUGUUAAUACCGGGGGUUCAUGACGGUACCUGAAGAAUAAGCACCGGCUAACUACGUGCCAGCAGCCGCCGUAAUAC